ACCGGAAGCAGCAACUCGUGAGUUAAACUCAAAACCCGCCUCCAGCGAUGAACUUCCUUUAUCAAGGCUGCACAUCCUAAAGUGACACCACCAACUGUGACCCAGUGCCAAGAAGCCUGAGUCAGUGGGGACACUUUCUCACUCAAAGCCCCUAAAACCACCUCAUCCCCUUUGAUGGGGCUGGAAAUCAAGCACAUUGUACAUGCCGCCGGAUCUGGAAACAGGUUCAGCUCUGGAGGAAGCAGGUCGCACACCUUCCCUGCGUCUUCUGGGGACAGGACCGAGGCACUGAUGAAGCAGCGCGAGCAAGUAGAGGCUGUUAUGUUUAAAUAAGCUGUUAGUAUUGACUAACAGAGGCUACUGCGGGUGGGAGGACAAAGCCUUGCAGCCGAGAGCCACGGCAGAGACUUCAACCAGGAGCUGCUAAUGAGAGCUAGCGAGGCGCCCGCUUCGUCUUCCUGGAAAAGAAACCAGCAUCAGCGGCGGCUGUGCCUGGCCAUGCCCUCCUCAUCCCUGCCAGUCCCCACACAUCAUCAGGGGAGGUCAGAGAAGGUGAAGGGGCCAAAGACCCCGGGCUUUCGGUGGCAGAGAUGGUGGCUAUUUACUGGUAAUCAGGAACAUUUUCUGUUAAAUAUGGAUACCUGGUGUGACCACCACUGUAAGUGUCUCUGCUUCCAGAGGGAGCUCCAAGACACACAAACAGAUCCUGAUGCAUGGGGCUCCUCCAGGGUGACUGCAACACACACACACACACACACACACACAAUGCAAGUGUGCAGAUGAGCGUGCAUGUGUGCAUGCACGCACGCAGGCACUCAGGCAUGUAUGCAGACAGAAAUACACACACACAGACGCAUACACACACAAAUGCAAAAACAGGCACACACAUACAAAAGCAUAUACAGGUACAUACACAUACAAUGUGAGUGCCCAGAUGUGCAUGCAUGCAUGCAUGCAUGCGUGAACUCAGGCACACACACACACACACACACACACACACACACACACACACAGAGAGAGAGAGAGAGAGAGAGAGAGAAAAAGAGAGAGAGAGAGAGAGAGAGGUUUGCUCCUGAUUAUUCUGGGCCUCCCCACGGGUAAAACGAGACUGUGCUAUUGAGCUCAUCCCCAGCACCUUGUAGAUGCAGAGGAGAGGAUCAGGACUUGAAACUCGUCAAUCCUCUGCUCUGAGCAGCUUCACCACAGUGGGCCCACUAACCAAGCAGUACAGCGAGCCUAGGUCUCCUCGCUAACCUGUUCCUCGUCUGAAUAAUACUGCGUGUGAUCUAGAGGGCCCUAGUGUGGGGCAGGGCUUGGGAGGAACUGAAGACACAGAUUAUUUAAAAACUG